UUUGUUAAUGAGAAGAGUGCUUAGAAGCAGGAAGCUUGAUUUCUCUGUGCCUUGCUCAGAUGUUUUCACAUGUGCCACAAAGUGGUUGCGCAGCAGUGCCAUUCUUAUCUGAGCUAAAAAAAGAAUAGACUUCCCAGUAAGAGUCACAGAACAUCAUGUUCCUAAAACCUUCAUAAGAUUAAAAAGACAGCAACAAUUCUGUUUUUAAGAGAGGAAAAUAUUUAUGAGAAGCUUGCUUCUUGACCGAACGUUGUUCAGUUAUUUACCCUCCAGCACAUUGUAUAAGAAAGAAAUAAAGAGGGGGGAAAAAAGGACAGCACUGAGCCCUCAACUUAGUCAAGAUUCAAGAAGCUUAUCGAGUUAGAAGAAAAAGACUGACACAAGUGACAGGACAAAGAAGCAUACAUGGAAAUAGAAUGAAAAUUCAGAACAGAUGUCAGGACGCAUUCUUCAUUCUGAAUGUGCAGAGCGGUCAACCAGGCACAGAGAUACUGAUUUGGCAAUAGCCUGUACAGCAGAAGAAAACCUAUUGUGGGAAGAGAAGGAGCUUGGUGAGUGUAUGAAAAUGCAUUACAGGCUGCAGGCAAUUGCAGUACCAAUUGUUGACUACUUAAGAAUUUU
rnacentral:lncRNA from 1 species